AUGGAGAACACCUGCAUAAGCUUCACCGCCGUAGCGCGCUCGGCGCGGAUGCUCAAGAUCGACGGCUUCAGCCUGACCGAGAGCAUGGACCACGACGACUGCGUCAGAUCCAGGUGGACCUUCGACGGGUACGAGUGGGAGGUCCGCGUCUACCCAGCGAUGACCAGCUCUGCCGGCGGUGGGGGCGGCGCCUACGUGGUGCUGGAGGUGGCCUUCCUCAGCAAGCCCCGCAAGGGCAGCGUGAGGGCGGCCAUAGGCUGCCGGCUGGUCGACCCGAGAGGGAUACUCAAACCGUCCAAUGAAAUCAGUAUCUCAAAGGUGUUCAGUCGCCCCCAGGAAUGCUCGACCAAGGCGGCUGUCGUCGGGCGGCGCGCGCUGGCGGCAUCGGCGUUUCUCCGGGGCGAUUCCUUCACUAUGGAAUGCACCAUUGAGGUUCUGAAGGAGCUGCCUGAUACGGUGACAGACCCUGUCGAAGAGGUGCCGGUGCCAUCCUCAAACUUGGGCCGGCACCUGGCUCUACUCCUGCAGAGCGAGGCCGGGGCAGACGUCACGUUCCUCGUGUCCGGCGAGUCCUUUGCCGCGCAUAAGAGCAUACUGGCCGCGAGGUCUCCGGUUUUCAUGGCUCAGUUCUUUGGAGACAUGAGGGAGAAAUGCUCACAGAGUGUGGUGAUCGAGGACAUGGAGGCUGCGGUGUUCAAGGCCCUGCUUCACUACAUCUACACUGAUACUGUGGCUGAAUUCGACGAGAAGGGUGAGGAGAUGACAAUGUUAGCCCAGCACUUGCUUGCAGCUGCUGACAGAUACGGGCUCGACAGGCUCAAGCUGAUCUGCGAAGGCAAGCUCUCUGAUGGCAUCAAUGUUGACACUGCAGCAACGUCUCUGGCUCUAGCCGAGCUGCACAACUGUCCACGGCUCAAGGCGAAGUGCGUCCAGUUCAUCAUUAGAAAUCGUGAGGUUCUUGAUGCUGUGUUGGCAACGGAGGGGUACAAGUACCUGGCGGCAAGCUGCCCUUCGGUGCUGGCUGACCUUCUCAAGUCGAGCCUGCGCGUCGGAUAA
rnacentral:rRNA from 1 species